AAACUGAAGAGUUUGAUCAUGGCUCAGAUUGAACGCUGGCGGUAUGCUUAACACAUGCAAGUCGAACGGUAACAGGCCUUCGGGCGCUGACGAGUGGCGGACGGGUGAGUAACGCGUAGGAAUCUGCCUGUUAGUGGGGGACAACGUGGGGAAACCCACGCUAAUACCGCAUACGCCCUACGGGGGAAAGGAGGGGAUCUUCGGACCUUUCGCUAACAGAUGAGCCUGCGUUAGAUUAGCUAGUUGGUAGGGUAAAGGCCUACCAAGGCGACGAUCUAUAGCUGGUCUGAGAGGACGAUCAGCCACACUGGGACUGAGACACGGCCCAGACUCCUACGGGAGGCAGCAGUGGGGAAUAUUGGACAAUGGGCGCAAGCCUGAUCCAGCAAUACCGCGUGUGUGAAGAAGGCCUUAGGGUUGUAAAGCACUUUCAAUUGGGAGGAAAACAGGCAGGUCAAUACCCUGUCUCUUGACAUUACCUUUAGAAGAAGCACCGGCUAACUCCGUGCCAGCAGCCGCGGUAAUACGGAGGGUGCGAGCGUUAAUCGGAAUUACUGGGCGUAAAGCGUGCGUAGGCGGUUCGUUAAGUCAGAUGUGAAAGCCCUGGGCUCAACCUGGGAACUGCAUUUGAAACUGGCGGACUAGAGUUUAGUAGAGGGGAGUGGAAUUUCAGGUGUAGCGGUGAAAUGCGUAGAUAUCUGAAGGAACACCAGUGGCGAAGGCGACUCCCUGGACUAGAACUGACGCUGAGGUACGAAAGCGUGGGUAGCAAACAGGAUUAGAUACCCUGGUAGUCCACGCCGUAAACGAUGUCGACUAGCCGUUGGGCCUAUAUACAGGUUUAGUGGCGCAGCUAACGCAUUAAGUCGACCGCCUGGGGAGUACGGCCGCAAGGUUAAAACUCAAAUGAAUUGACGGGGGCCCGCACAAGCGGUGGAGCAUGUGGUUUAA
rnacentral:rRNA from 1 species